GUAGGUGGCAAGCGUUAUCCGGAAUUAUUGGGCGUAAAGCGCGCGUAGGCGGUUUUUUAAGUCUGAUGUGAAAGCCCACGGCUCAACCGUGGAGGGUCAUUGGAAACUGGAAAACUUGAGUGCAGAAGAGGAAAGUGGAAUUCCAUGUGUAGCGGUGAAAUGCGCAGAGAUAUGGAGGAACACCAGUGGCGAAGGCGACUUUCUGGUCUGUAACUGACGCUGAUGUGCGAAAGCGUGGGGAUCAAACAGGAUUAGAUACCCUGGUAGUCCACGCCGUAAACGAUGAGUGCUAAGUGUUAGGGGGUUUCCGCCCUUUAGUGCUGCAGCUAACGCAUUAAGCACUCCGCCUGGGGAGUACGACCGCAAGGUUG
rnacentral:rRNA from 1 species